UUCCCUUCUGCUGCCUGCUGUUCAAGAGACCUUCCUUGGUUUGGUUGUUGUUAGGCGACUCUGGUCCUUCAUUUCUAAAAGACAGAAUUUGAGGUAUUGGGCUCAGAUCUCUCCAAUUUGGGCUUGGUUCGUUACAUUAGACUAGUGGCAAGGAUCUCACAUUUUAUUUCAAGCGUUUGCUCCUCCUCUCAAGUUUCAUCCACAGGCC
rnacentral:lncRNA from 1 species